GCGACCCCUGUGAAAGGGUCGUUCGACCCCCAAAGGGGUCGUGACCCACAGGUUGAGAACCGCUGUCAUACAACUUUUAUAUCUGAGAGAGAUUGUGCUGAUGUUUUCUCUUGUUCUAAGUUCAAAUGUGCCAGGACAGCUCACACCCAUUAGGAUGGCUCCUAUCAAGAAAUCAGGAAAUAAUUAAUGUUGAUAAAGAUUUGGAGAAAUUGGAAUGCUUGUGUACUGUAGGUAGAAAUGGAAAACGGUACAGCCACUAUGGAAAACAGCAUGCCAACCGGUUUUCUCCAAAUGGUCAAUUGGAAGUUUCUACACCUCACUUCUCAUAGCUUUUUCCCGCUACAAAGAAGUGGACCUGCUUCCCAAGUUUGAAAAUCUCAGGGAAGAACUACGAGUAGAACUGAAUCCUGUUGUCUCCCCCUGGAUUAAGCAGGAAAGCCAGUCACCUAAGAACAUGGCAAUUCCUUAUAGAACCAUAUGACUAAAGUGGAGCUGAGGGAAAAAAGUUUUUAGAAAGAGGGUGGGCAUGGGAUUGAUGCUUAGUAGACCAAACAGUAGGUGUCCACAGCAGUGACACAGAGCCAGUAAGUGGCAGAUUAAGAGAGUAGCCUGGGUCUUUUGACUAUACGGUAAUUACUGAGUUCUUCCCACGCAAAAGGAAGGCUCUGUCUCUGCAAGGCCCCUGGGACAGUGCAUUCUCAAGUGUGACCCAUCAGCCUUGGAGUCACCAGAUGUGGGGUGAUGAGCCAGCUGAAACUGAGACAAUCAUUUUGUCCUAUGUCUUCUGCCUGAGCUUCCUUAUUAAUAUCAAGGGGAUCGAAGGAUAAAGACCUUUAUAUAAAUGUUAUUUGUGGAUUCAAAAAUGUCUCCAUGUCCUACUAGAUCUGCAUAAUGAGGUAGAGUCGCAUGAAAACCAGUGGGUUCCUGAUGAUGAUGGAAGUGCCAGCCCACCCUCUUCAAAUUUUCACCAUCAGAAUCUUCACACGCCCUGGAGGAACCCCCUUCUUGAUAGUGGCGCUCAUGGCUUUCAGUUGUUUUAAAUGGCAGCAUGUAAAGGGUGCUGAGAAUUCAGUGAUCAUCUGGUUCAGUUGUUUUCAAACUUGCUUCAGCUGUGGAUCCUUAUUUUUCUUCCUCCAAAUAAAACGUCACCUGAAUUGCGUUAUAUAACAUAGAUUGAAGCAGAGUGGCUAGGAUCUGGGUGGGCCACAGGUGCCUCGAACCCUCUGAUUCAGUCUCCUCUCCUGUGGAGCACACCUUGCAAGUCUCUCAUCUAGGUUAGCCAUUUUAUUUCGCAGAUGGAGAAACUGAGGCCCAGAGAGGUGGAGUGGGCCACCGACCACAGAACACAGACUAGCAGUGCUGUGACUGGAUCCCUGGUCUCCUGGCUUAGGAGUUGUGUUCUUUCUAUUGUAUCCUGGUGCUUCUGGCUGUUUCAAAUGAGCACUCCAACAAAGUGGUUGUGUUUUUCUUCAGGUUCAUAAUAACUUGAACUGGACUAACAUGAAGGCAAGUAGAGGACGUUGGGAGCCUAAAAUCUAAUAAACAGGUCUCAGUUUCCUCAUCUGCCAAAUCAGAUGAUUGUGAGGAUGAAAGAGAUAAUACACUGAAGUAUUUGGCACAUGCCAGCCGCUCGACAGAAGCCAGGAUGACUCACUCUGGGAGAAGCCAACUACCAUAUUAUGAGGACACUCAAGCAUCCUUAUGGAGAGGUCUACAAAAUGAAGACACUUAGGCCUCCUGACGACAGCCAGCACUGUCUUGCCAGGUGUGGGCGCACCACCUUGGAAGUGGAUCCUCCGGCCCCAGAGGGCAGUGUCGCUGGCCCCCAUGUGGGAUCUGAACCGGGGCCCUG